rnacentral:tRNA from 1 species
GCCUGGGUGGCUCAGUCGGUUGAGCGUCCAACUUCAGCUUGGGUCAUGAUCUCACGGCUGGUGAGUUCGAGCCCCACGUCAGGCG